AGGGAGAUGGGCUUUGAGAGGUGAGAGGGUGAGUUUGAAUAGAGGCAAAACCUUGCAGAUACCCAGAGAAGCUCUGACUACUUCUAACUGGGGGCAAGUUCACAGGUUAAAAAAGAAGAAACAGUUGUGACAUACUUACAUGAUUAUAUUUAACUAAGUAAUGGUUUUAAAAGCUGCCAAAUUCUUAAUAUAAUUGUGUUAACCACAAGAUUUAUAUGAAAUUGCAUGACAAGUGAUGUGGCCCUGGAAAGACACUAGUUUGAAUGUUUUUUCUCUCAGUGCUUUGAGUAUAUUUCUCUAAUUAUAUGCAUUACUCUUAAAAAUGCCAAAAGUGCUUUCUAGUUUGACAUGUAAAGAGCUCAGAAGUCAUCACUUGCAUCUUGACAACAAGAAAAAAAGCUGAACAAACUGAAAAUCAAAAACUCUUCUUGGAUCCCUCACAGAAUGGAGAUCACAGGGCAAACUGCUUUCUAAAAUGGAGAGAUAAUCUGGCAGAUACAGUUAAUCACAGCUUACUAGUAGCAGAAGACCAGAAACAGAAUCCACAGUUGAAGCCACUAUUGGUAGGAGCAAUUUAAACUGUAAUUGACCAAUUGCUGGAGGGUCAUUGAGAGUUAAAAACUCCAAG
rnacentral:lncRNA from 10 species